rnacentral:rRNA from 1 species
UACGGGGGGGGGCAAGCGUUGUUCGGAAUUACUGGGCGUAAAGGGCUCGUAGGCGCCAACUAAGUCAGACGUGAAAUCCCUCGGCUUAACCGGGGAACUGCGUCUGAUACUGGUUGGCUUGAAUCCGGGAGAGGGAUGUGGAAUUCCAGGUGUAGCGGUGAAAUGCGUAGAUAUCUGGAGGAACACCGGUGGCGAAGGCGGCAUCCUGGACCGGUAUUGACGCUGAGGAGCGAAAGCCAGGGGAGCAAAGCGGG